GAGGUGAAAGCAAUAGCUCUCGA
rnacentral:siRNA from 1 species